GUGGGGAAUCUUGCGCAAUGGGCGAAAGCCUGACGCAGCAACGCCGCGUGGGGGAUGAAGGCUCUCGGGUUGUAAACCCCUUUCAGCAGGGACGAAUCAAGACGGUACCUGCAGAAGAAGCCCCGGCUAACUACGUGCCAGCAGCCGCGGUAACACGUAGGGGGCAAGCGUUGUCCGGAUUUAUUGGGCGUAAAGAGCUCGUAGGUGGCUGAGUAAGUCGGGUGUCAAAGCCCCAGGCUCAACCUGGGAUCCCACCCGAUACUGCUCUGGCUAGAGUCCGGUAGGGGAGCGUGGAAUUCCUGGUGUAGCGGUGAAAUGCGCAGAUAUCAGGAGGAACACCAGCGGCGAAGGCGGCGCUCUGGGCCGGUACUGACACUGAGGAGCGAAAGCGUGGGUAGCAAACAGGAUUAGAAACCCGUGUAGUCC
rnacentral:rRNA from 1 species